rnacentral:lncRNA from 1 species
AUGGAAUUUAAUGGUAAAAAAAAGCAGCCUUGGAAGACAAUCCAGAAGGCGCAACAGGAACGGUUAGAAAUGGUGGAAUUAGAUACAAAGGAAUCUUGGAUGAGCACAAAGGAAACAGCAGCUCUACAUCACACAUCCCGCAGGUAGGCUCAGAACAUGGGAUACUGGAAGUGAGGGUUGGAGUAACAUCAGAUAUGACCAAUCACGGCUUAGGGUAUUGGAAUUAGCUUGACUCAAGGAGAUCAAGGACCACACCAAGGAUGGGCGCUACGAGCAAGAAGUUCAGGAUCAACUCUGGUGGAUGAAGCAAAUGCACUUAAGCUAGCAAUGUGUAAGACAGCCACAACGCAAUCCAGG